GAUGAACGCUGGCGGCGUGCCUAAUACAUGCAAGUCGAGCGAACGGACCAGAAGCUUGCUUCUCUGAUGUUAGCGGCCGACGGGUGAGUCACACGUGUAUAACCUACCUCUCAGACUGGGAUAACUUCGGGAAACCGGAUCUUCUACCGGAUAAUAUUUUGACCCGCAUGGUUCCAACGUGAAAUACGGUCUUUCUGUCACUUAUAGCUGGCUCCGCACUGCAUUAGCUAGUUGGUAAGGUAACGGCUUACCAAGGCAACGAUGCAUACCCGACCUGAGAGGGGGAUGGGCCACAGGGGAACUGAGACACGGACCAGACACCUAGGGGAGGAAGCAGGAGGGAAAAUUCCGCAAGAGGCGGAAGUAUGACAGAGUAAAGGCGGGGGAGAGAUGAAAGCCUGCGGAGCGGAAAAAGCUGUGAUGAGGGAAGAACAGAAGUGUAAGUAAACGUGGAAAGAUUGACGGUAACUAAGCAGAAAGCCACGGCUAACUACGUG
rnacentral:rRNA from 1 species